rnacentral:lncRNA from 9 species
CACCUACUGGUCCAGUCCAGGAGAGGACCGAGGAGGGAUGGACUGGCUCUGCUGCAUCCCGCUCUCCCGAGGCCGAGGCCGAGGCCGAGGCCGCAGGCGUCGUCACGGCAGAGAUGGCCUCUGCCAAGCCUGCAGAACCUGGAUGAGAACGCGAGGCGGACGCCUAUGGGCCGUUGCCCGCAGGGACCCAGAGAGUCCCCGACCCGAGACCCGCCAGGAACAGGGUGAGGAAGGCAGAAGGCCACCCGAGGAACCUCCACACAGACUGCUCCCCGGGGACCUCUGCCGGGCUGGUGGGGAGCACAGGAGCACCAGCUGUGGCCAUGAAGACACCGUCCACAUGAGCCUGACAACCCUGGAAGGCCUGGCCCCCCCUGAGGCCCAGCCUGAAGCAGGAGACCUGGAAUCCGAGGCCAAGACGCCAGCCGAACGGAUAGAUCCUGAAGCAGCCCCCAGAGGAGGUCCAAGUCCACAGGAGGACUCAGCACCUGGGCAGGGAGUACCUGUAGCUCUUUCAGAGGGACACUCAUGUCCUCAUGGGGACUCACCCCCCGGGGAGGAUGAACCCUCUGCUCCUCUCCCAAGAGGCCCAGCUCCUCUUGAGGACUCACCACCCGGGCAGGGUGGAACCAAGGUGCCUCCUGCAGGAGGACCAGGCCCCCAUGAAGACUCAACUCAUGGGCAGGAUCAACCUGCUGCUCCUCCUGAAGGAAGACCAGAGCCUCCUGAGGUCUCACCUCCUGGGCAGGAUGAAAAUCCUGCUCCUCCUCCUGGAGGACCAGGCUCUCAGUAGGACUCAGCAGCCGUGCAGGUUAAAAAUCCUGCUCCUCCUCCUGGAGGACCAGGCUCUCAAGAGGACUCACUUGCUGGGCAGGAUGAGAAACCUGCUAGUCCUCCAGAA